rnacentral:rRNA from 1 species
GUGGGGAAUAUUGGACAAUGGGCGAAAGCCUGAUCCAGCCAUGCCGCGUGUGUGAAGAAGGUCUUCGGAUUGUAAAGCACUUUAAGUUGGGAGGAAGGGCAGUAAGUUAAUACCUUGCUGUUUUGACGUUACCGACAGAAUAAGCACCGGCUAACUUCGUGCCAGCAGCCGCGGUAAUACGAAGGGUGCAAGCGUUAAUCGGAAUUACUGGGCGUAAAGCGCGCGUAGGUGGUUUUGUAAGUUGGAGGUGAAAUCCCCGGGCUCAACCUGGGAACUGCCUCCAAAACUGCAUGACUAGAGUACGGUAGAGGGUAGUGGAAUUUCCUGUGUAGCGGUGAAAUGCGUAGAUAUAGGAAGGAACACCAGUGGCGAAGGCGACCACCUGGACUGAUACUGACACUGAGGUGCGAAAGCGUGGGGAGCAAACAAGAUUAGAAACCCCUGUAGUCC